AACGCGAAGAACCUUACCUACUCUUGACAUCCACAGAAUCCUUAGAGAUAGAGGAGUGCCUUCGGGAACUGUGAGACAGGUGCUGCAUGGCUGUCGUCAGCUCGUGUUGUGAAAUGUUGGGUUAAGUCCCGCAACGAGCGCAACCCUUAUCCUCUGUUGCCAGCACGUAAUGGUGGGAACUCAAAGGAGACUGCCGGUGAUAAACCGGAGGAAGGUGGGGAUGACGUCAAGUCAUCAUGGCCCUUACGAGUAGGGCUACACACGUGCUACAAUGGCAUAUACAAAGGGCGGCAAGCUAGCGAUAGUGAGCGAAUCCCAUAAAGUAUGUCGUAGUCCGGAUUGGAGUCUGCAACUCGACUCCAUGAAGUCGGAAUCGCUAGUAAUCGUAGAUCAGAAUGCUACGGUGAAUACGUUCCCGGGUCUUGUACACACCG
rnacentral:rRNA from 1 species